rnacentral:rRNA from 1 species
CCUACGGGUGGCAGCAGUGGGGAAUAUUGGACAAUGGGGGGAACCCUGAUCCAGCCAUGCCGCGUGUGUGAAGAAGGCCCUCGGGUUGUAAAGCACUUUCAGUGAGGAAGAACGCCUGGUGGUUAAUACCCAUCAGGAAAGACAUCACUCACAGAAGAAGCACCGGCUAACUCCGUGCCAGCAGCCGCGGUAAUACGGAGGGUGCGAGCGUUAAUCGGAAUUACUGGGCGUAAAGCGCGCGUAGGUGGCUUGAUAAGCCGGUUGUGAAAGCCCCGGGCUCAACCUGGGAACGGCAUCCGGAACUGUCAAGCUAGAGUGCAGGAGAGGAAGGUAGAAUUCCCGGUGUAGCGGUGAAAUGCGUAGAGAUCGGGAGGAAUACCAGUGGCGAAGGCGGCCUUCUGGACUGACACUGACACUGAGGUGCGAAAGCGUGGGUAGCAAACCGGAUUAGAUACCCGAGUAGUC